AUUGAACGCUGGCGGCAGGCCUAACACAUGCAAGUAGAGCGGAGCGGCGGACGGGUGAGUAAUGCCUAGGAAUCUGCCUGGUAGUGGGGGAUAACGUCCGGUAACGGGAGCUAAUACCGCAUCCUAUCAGAUGAGCCUAGGUAGGAAUCGAUAGGUGGUGGGGUAAAGGCGUACCAAGGCGACGAUCCGUAACUGGUCUGAGAGGAUGAUCAGUCACACUGGAACUGAGACACGGUCCAGACUCCGACGUGAGGCAGCAGUGGGUAAUAUUGGACAAUGGGCUAAAGCCUGAUCCAGCCAUGCCGCGUGUGUGAAGAAGGUCUUCGGAUUGUAAAGCACUUUAAGUUGGGAGGCGUUACCAACAGAAUAAGCACCGGAUAACUGCGUGCCAGCAGCCGCGGUAAUAC
rnacentral:rRNA from 1 species